AGGAGUAUAGUUAAUUUAUAACAUUUAAUUUGCAAUUAAAAAUUAUUUUUAAAAAAUUUCUCUUA
rnacentral:tRNA from 1 species